GGGCCCGCACAAGUGGUGGAGCAUGUGGUUUAAUUCGAUGCAACGCGAAGAACCUUACCAACCCUUGAAAUCUAGCGAAGUUCACAGAGAUGAGAAUGUGCCUUCGGGAACGCUAUGACAGGUGUUGCAUGGCUGUCGUCAGCUCGUGUCGUGAGAUGUAUGGUUAAGUCCAGUAACGAGCGCAACCCCUAUCCUUAUUUGCCAACGCGUUAAGGCGGGAACUAUAGGGAGACUGCCGGGUGAAACCCGGAGGAAGGCGGGGACGAGGUCAAGUCAUCAUGGCCCUUAUGGGUUGGGCUACACACGUGCUACAAUGGGAAGUACAGAGGGACGCUAAAGCGCGAGCUGGAGCCAAACCCUUAAAACUUUUCUAGUCCGGAUUGGAGUCUGCAACUCGACUCCAUGAAGUCGGAAUCACUAGUAAUCGCGAAUC
rnacentral:rRNA from 1 species